rnacentral:lncRNA from 1 species
AUGAUCAUGCGAGCACAGAACUGCAGUGGGAGCCAGGAUCUCUGGCGUUGUAGCAAUGUGGCUUCCAAAUGCUGGCGCUCUCCUGUUACCUUGUGCAGCGUUAUUCAGAUGCCAUUUAUACCAUUAGCCACUGCAAUCUGGCUUGCCUGGGAGAUGAAUAUGAUCAUCGCCGAGCAAUUAGGAAACAGUUUUGUGGAGAUCUGUGCUUUACAUUACAAGCUGGUGGGGCAGAGAAGCAGCCUGUUUUCUGAAGUGCUAAUUUUGAAUCCAGUUAUCAAAAAUAACCUCACCAUGAUUGGACACGUUCGCCUAUACUGAGCUGUUUUCAUGCAAACUGGAUGAAGCCCAGACCCUGGUAUGUGGCACUGGCACUUACUGUUAUCCCUUCCUGCAACUGGAGAUUGAUGAAAACAAGC